UACAGAGGUCUCAAGCGUUGUUCGGAUUCAUUGGGCGUAAAGGGUGCGUAGGCGGCGCGGUAAGUCGGGUGUGAAAUCUUGGAGCUUAACUCCGAAACUGCAUUCGAUACUGCCGUGCUUGAGGACUGGAGAGGAGACUGGAAUUUACGGUGUAGCGGUGAAAUGCGCAGAUAUCAGGAGGAACACCAAUAGCGAAGGCAGCUCGCUGGGACGUUACUGACACUGAGGCGCGAAAGCGUGGGGAGCGAACAGG
rnacentral:rRNA from 1 species